rnacentral:sRNA from 1 species
UUGACCCUAGGAGACUGAAAUCAUCUAUUUAUUUGUAAGGACACAUACAGCAUGGGCAACCUAGUAUCCACCUCGCUUCCCCCACCAAUGUGCCUCAAUCCCAGUCUGGAGAAACCACCACUAGUGGUGAGAGGGAAGCGAAGUCUCCAAUGAAAUUGCCACAUAGGGGCCAAU